AUCAAAUACACCGCACAGAGCAAUGAACCUCCAAUGUUCAACUUCAACUUUGGCUCGAAUCCAAAUUUUGGCCCAAAUUCAAAUAUUGAUUUAAAUUCAAAUUUUGAUGGAAAUUUGAAUUCUGACUCAAAUAAGAAACCAAAGUAGAAGCAACAUUAUUACAACUGAUAAGUUUUCACAGUAGCUCAAAUCUACCAAGUUUUAAGAUGCCAACAUCUUAAUACAAAUCUACCAAGUUUUAAGCGAUCGACUCGCCCUCAAAUUGACAACACAAACAUUUCCCAACAACUUAAUUCAAAUUUUCGACUUGCUCCUUGUGUUUGCAGCUGGCUUCACCGUCUUGCUCCUGGUUUCCCUAGUUGAGAUGCUCUUUUCUUUCAGACUCUUGUUCCUUUUGAUCUUGGGCUUUACUUGGGGUUUUCCCCGUGGAGGUGCUGAUGGAGUAGUUCCACUCGCCGAGCACUUGACGACCAUUUGACGGUCAUCUAUGGGUUCAGUGAUCUUUAAAGGCACAAUUGGAAAAAUUACCCCCUCCUCUUCCUCUCUUAUAGCUUCAAAACCAUCAAAGGCCAUGGUUUCAAAAUCUUCUGCUUCUUCAUCUCUUGGCCUUUUCUCCCUAGAGCUGGUAAAUAAAAUUAUAAGCCAUAGGCAAAAAA